UUGUUUUUUUCAGUUGAGAUGCUUUGGUUGCUAUGAUACAGAACAUCUGAAGAAGUAACUUUUGCAGACGCAUCAUGAAUUACAUGUUGCAAUCAUUUUUCAUAUCAAUAUAAGUAGUACUCCGGGAAGCCCAUAUGGUACAGACAUGAAUACUGAGAGAAAAUAAAUAUUAACUUCUCCCUCAUUGUUGUUUAGUUGUAGUACAAACAGAAUGAGUAACAGCUGGUUAGAGUGAUAUUUGCCCCGCCCCUCCUCCACCAUGAUUGGACGUCUGACUAAAAAGCAACAGUAAUGAGUGCUGUGUUAUACCUAAAGCUGAACAUUCUUCAACUCCCAGCGCUGAGAAAAACAUAACCCCCAAACACCCACCCAAUUGAGUUUCGAGGGGGGUCCCUGUUAAAAAUCGCUUUCCGGGGGUAAAAUAUAUAUUAAAUAUUGCGUUAUUGGUGUUGCUUCAACCCGUGAACAUGAAAAACAACCCACAGCAACAGUGUUAAAGUAGUCCAAUUCCAUGGAAAAACCACAGACUUGGCAACACUGGCACUCAGCAUGAAAAAGGUUUAAAAAACGUGGUGCUCCCAUUGAAAACUGAAAAAAUAUUCUAGCCUUGGACAAAAAUACUUUGGCGGACACAGCCUAAAUAUGUUAAAUGAAUUCAUUUAAUGAUUAAAAUACGUGAGAAUGUUUAUUGUGGUGGGCAAAUAUAUAU